UACGGGGGGAGCAAGCGUUGUUCGGAUUUACUGGGCGUAAAGGGGCGGGUAGGCGGCCACCGCAAGUCAGUUGUGAAAUCUCUGGGCUUAACCCGAAAGGUCAACUGAUACUGCGGGCGUAGAGUGCAGAAGGGGCAACUGGAAUUCUCGGUGUAGCGGUGAAAUGCGUAGAUAUCGGGAGAACACCUGAGGCGAAGGCGGGCUACUGGGCUGAUACUGACGCUGAUGCGCGAAAGCUAGGGGAGCAAACAGG
rnacentral:rRNA from 1 species